rnacentral:lncRNA from 1 species
CUGAUGAAGUCUUUUAGAAGAAAGGAUGUGCUUAAUUUAUCUUUAUAUCUGAAGUGUCUUUUCCAUGGGGAUGUUCUUGAUGCCUGUCUCCUGUACAAUGUCACGAACCUCAUUCCAUAGUUCAUCAGGCACUCUAUCUAUCAGAUCUAGGCUCUUAAAUCUAUUUCUCACUUCCACUGUAUAAUCAUAAGGGACUUGAUUUAGGUCAUACCUGAAUGGUCUAGUGGUUUUCCCUAUUUUCUUCAAUUUCAUUCUGAAUUUGGUAAUAAGGAAUUCAUGAUCUGAGCCACAGUCAGCUCCUGGUCUUGUUUUUGUUGACUGUAUAGAGCUUCUCCAUCUUUGGCUGCAAAGAAUAUAACCAAUCUGAUUUCGGUGUUGACCAUCUGGUGAUGUCCAUGUGUAGAGUCUUCUCUUGUGUUGUUGGAAGAGGGUGUUUGCUAUGACCAGUGCAUUUUCUUGGCAAAACUCUAUUAGUCUUUGCCCUGCUUCAUUCCGCAUUCCAAGGCCAAAUUUGCCUGUUACUCCAGGUGUUUCUUGACUUCCUACUUUUGCAUUCCAGUCCCCUAUAAUGGUCAUGUAUGGAUGUGAGAGCUGGACUGUGAAGAAGGCUGAGCGCCGAAGAAUUGAUGCUUUUGAACUGUGGUGUUGGAGAAGACUCUUGAGAGUCCCUUGGACUGCAAGGAGAUCCAACCAGUCCAUUCUGAAGGAGUUCAACCCUGGGAUUUCUUUGGAGGGAAUGAUGCUACAGCUGAAACUCCAGUACUUUGGCCACCUCAUGUGAAGAGUUGACUCACUGGAAAAGACUCUGAUGCUGGGAGGGAUUGGGGGCAGUAGGAGAAAGGGACGACAGAGGAUGAGAUGGCUGGAUGGCAUCACAGACCCGAUGGACAUGAGUCUGAGUGAACUCCGGGAGAUGGUGAUGAACAGGGAGGCCUGGCGUGCUGUGAUUCAUGGGGUCGCAAAGAGUCGGACACGACUGAGAGACUGAACUGAACUGAACUGAAUCCAGUCACAUUAUUUGUGAGCCUUAAAAUAUCUUUUUAUGGCUAAAAAGUUUUCUGCUUUCUCUGAUUAUGUUAUAGGGUUGAUUGUUUAAGGUUAAGUAUUAAUUUUUAAACAGGUACGUUAAAACGAUGUUUGUUUAUUAUUCUGAGUACUCACAUACUUGCUGAUAGAGACAAUAUAUAAAGUUGUACAAAAAGCAGGUCAGUGUGUUGAUG